rnacentral:lncRNA from 1 species
AUUGCAAGUCCCCAGAGGCAGGGGUGAGAGGUGAAGGGUGCGGGGGCGGAGCUUCAGAAACCAGAGGAGGGGGAUUUGAGAACUCGGGGCGGGGCUUGAAGGUUGAAGCGUUUAGAUGGGCAGUUGGUGGGGCUCUGAGAAGCCGCAGACAGGAUUACGUGGUAAGCAGCCCCAGCUUGGCGGCCCUGAUUGGACGCGGCGAGGCACAGAGGCGGGGCCGGGGCGCAGGGGCGGGGCCAGCGACUGCCAACGCCCCUCCCCCGCGCGGUGCUCAGUCUCGGCGGUUGGCGCUGUCCUGGGGCGGAGGAGACUUGGAGGAGGUGGUAGUAAAUCAGACAUGAUGAAGUGGAUGGCACUCCAGAGCAAGUUUUAGCAAGGAUUUGGGCAAGCAGUGAAUAAUGACCUGUGUUAUGAUGAGAUCUAUAUUUCUCUUGUGACCUGAGAAUAUUCCUCUUCCUCUGUCAAUCCCAAAUUUGAUGCCAUAAUCACUGAAAACAGUGGGAGAGAAGCACUCCUUGUGCUCCUUUUGCACAAGGUAAAUGGUAGAAGAGCUCAAGAAAUUUUCUAAAGCAAUAUAAAUUUCAACUCUGGACAAUAGUAAGUUUCAGCAGAGCAUUUAAACAGUCAACAAGUAGUAGAAAUAAAAGAUCUUUACAGAGACCAACAGAGAUGAGUGGCCUUCUAGCCCUUCUAGACAGUUCUGCGCUUGGGGAGUUAUCAGGAGGACCAGCUCUGUCAGCAGGAUCCAGCAGCGUAGCUUGCCAAGCAGUGACCUGUCCGCACCCCGGAUCCGAACUGGUGAACCCCAGGCCGCCGAAACGAACGUGCGCACUUAACCGCUGCACCACCAGGCCAGCUCUAAAUGUUUCCAGGUCUCUGAGUCUGCAUCAAUUCCACCGGUUCUGACCCUGGAACUUUAGUGAAUGACCCACCACUCAAGGCCCUCCAGCUGCAUCAGUCUUCUCUUACAAGGUCCAGAUGGAGCCAUCAGGUUUGAUGAUAUCAAGAUUGGUCUUGUUGCUCCAUUCCUUCAGGGAAGUAAGAUUCCACGCACUCAGAUGCCACCAUAGAGAAGAUCCAAUAAUCCACCCGUGUGUGCUGGCUGCUGACCAUUCGCUGUUCCACCUGGCUCUUGAAGGGAGAAACACUGCUGUCCACUGAGGCCUCCUGUCCCCUUGAUCUCCAUUUCAUCUUCCAGAUGGGACUGCAGGCAUUUGCUGAUUGUCUAGGCUUCUUCCCUGGUCUGUCUCACCCCCACCUGGAUGUUCUUUGCUCACGGGAAGGGAGGGAGGGGCUGCUGAGGGAUCUGGGUGGCCCCCCAUGGCUGUGUGUUGUCUCCAAAGCCUCCCUCUUCUGGCAGCUGACCACUUCAUGUAUCGCCCUCCAGGGUACUUUGAAAAGUGAACAUGAGUUCAUUCUGAUCCCACAUCUAACACAUUAUCACAUAGAUCCUUCUAUCUUCCUCCCUGGCUUAUCUGUAAACUCCUACCCCAACAGUGAGAAAUCUCGUUCAUCUCAUUUGCCAUUCAUUCAGUUAAUUGCCUAAUUCCAGUGUACAUUUCUAGUAGUAUCAGUAUUGUCACCCUGUCCCCACUGUGAAGCAGCUUUAUCAACUAGAGUACAGUGCUUAUGGACAGUUUCUGUUGCCUUUAGUUUUACAGACUCAACUCAUUUCUGAAGUUACGUUGAUCAACAACUUUCCCCCCAACUGUUUCAUUGAGAUGUUUCAUACAUUUGUAAUACAAUUACUAUAUAUUAUCGCUUUGUCACAUUCUGCAUUCCAUCCUGGGAUUCCGCUGAUCUCCUAAGUGAUUUUUUGUUAAUUAGCAUGCAUUAAGGUUUACAGUUUGUGCUGUAAAGUUCCUUGGGUUUGACAAAUGCACAGUAUCAUGUAUCCGUAAUUGCAGCAUCAUACAGAAUGAUUUCACCGCUCUAAAGUAUCGGCUGUGCUUCCUCUAUUCGACCCUUUCUCCCUCCCCAAACCCUUGGCAACCACUAGUGUUUUUACUUUUUUUUUCAAUUUUGCCUUUUCCAAAAUGUCAUAUGAUUGGAGUUAUACAGUAUGUAGCCUUUUCAGACUGGUUUCUUUUACUUAGUAAUAUGCAUUUAAGGUUCGUCCAUGUCUUUUCGUGGCUUAAUAGCUCAUUUCUUUUAAUUGGUGAGUAAUAUUCCAUUAUAGGACACACUAUGGUUUGUUUAUCCAUUUACCUAUUGAAGGGCAUGAUUGCUUCUAGUUUUUAGCAAUUAUAAACAAAGCUGAUAUAAACAUUUGUGUUAAGUUUGUGGACAUAAAUUUUCAAAUCUUUUGAAUAUAAACUUAGGAGUGUGUUUGCUAGAUCAUGUAGUAAGACUAUGCUAAGAUUUGUAAGAAACUGCCAAACUAUCUUCCAAAAUGUCUGUACCAUUUUAUAUCCUCACCAGCAAUGAAUGACAAUUCCUGUUGCCCUUUAUCCCCACCAGUAAUUGGAAUUUUCAGUUUGGGGAUGUUUUACCAUAUUAAUAGGUGUGUAGUAGCAGCUCACUGUUGUUUUCAUUUGCAGUUUCCUGAUGGUAAAUGAUGGCGAGCGUGUCUGCAGAUGUUUAUUGGCCGUCUGUGUAUCUUCUUUGCUGAGCUGUCUGUUCACAGCUUCUUCCUCUUUUUAAAUUGGAUAGUCUUCCUACUGUUGAGUUUUAAGUAUCCUUUUUAUAUUUUGCACAGGAGUUCAUUAACAGAUGGGUGUUUUGCAAGUAUUUUCUCCCAUUCUGUGGCUUUUUAUUCUCUUAACUGUGUCUUCUUUCGAGCAGAAGUUUUACAUUUUAAUGUAAAAUACGACUCGUUAAUUUUUUCUUUCAUGGUCAUACUUUUGGUGGUGUAUCUAAAAAAACAUCACCAAACCUAAGACCGCCUAGAUUUUCUCCUGCGUUUUCUUCUAGGAGUUUUAUAGUUUUGUGUUUUGCCUUUAGGUCUAUGAUUCAUUUUGAAUUAAUUUUUGUGAAAAGUAUAAAGUCUGUGUCUGGAUUCAUUGUUUUGCAUAUGGAUGUCAGAUUCUUCCACCACCAUUUGUUGAAAUGCUUAUUCUUUCUAUAUUUAAUUGUUUUUGCUCCUUUGUCAAAGCUCAGUUGACUCUAUUUGUGUGGAUCUGUUUCUGGGCUCUCUAUUGAGUUCCAUUGAUCUAUGUGCCUGUAUUUUCACCAAUACCUAGCUGUCUUGGUCACUUUACAGCUUUGUAAUACAAAGCUUUGUCGUAAGUCUUGAAAUUGGGAAGUGUGAGUCCUCCAACUUUGUUCUUCAGUUUUGUGUUGGCUGGUCUAGGUCCUUUGCCUUUCCAUAUAAACUUUAGAAUCAGUAUGUCAAUGUCUACAAAAUAGCUUACUGAGAUUUUGGGAUUGGGCGGAAUCUAUAGAUCAAGUUGGGAAGAAUUAACAUUUUAACAGUCUUGUGGCUUUCAAUCUAUUAACAUAAAAUAUUUAUUUAAAUAUUCUUUGAUUUCUUCAGAGGUUUGUAGUUUUCUUCAUAUAUGUUGUGUACAUAUUUUGUUAGAUUUAUCUCUAAGUAUUUCCUUUUUUUGGAUGCUGUUAUAAAUGAUAUUGUAUUUUUAAUUCCAAAUUCCAAUAGUUCUUUGCUGGUGUAGAGGAAAACAAUUGACUUUUGUAUAUUAAUCUUGUAUUUGUUAUUGUCAUUAUCUUUUAGUUCUAAUAGGUUUGUAGUAGUAUCUUAUUGUAUUAAUUUACAUUUCUCUGAUGGCUAAUUAUGUGGAACAUCUCAUGUUUAUUUUCUAUCCAUAUUAUUUUCAGUGAAAUAUCUGUUUAUAUCAUUAGCCUGUUUUCUAAUUAGAUUGUUUGUUUUAUUACUGUUGUGUUUUGGUUUUUUUUUAAAGAUUGGUACCUGAGCUAAUAUCUGUUGCCAGUCUUCUUUUUUUCCUCUUUUUUUCCUUCUUCCUCUUCUCCCCAAAGUCCCCCCGGUACAUAGUUGUAUAUUUUUAGUUGCAAAUCCUUCUGGUUGUGCUAUGUGGGACGCCGCCUCGGCAUGGCUUGAUGAGUGGUGCCAUGUCCACGCCCAUGAUCCAAACCAGUGAAACCCUGGGCCACCAAAGCGGAGUGCGUGAACUUAACCACUUGGCCACAGGGCCGGCCCCUUAUUACUGUUGAGUUUUGAGAUGUCUUUAUGUAUAUAGUAGGUAAGAGUUAUUUGUUAUAUCUGUGGUUUGCAAAUAUGUUCUCCAAGUCUUUCACUUUUCUUCCCAUGCUUUUAAUGGUCUUUCAAAGAGAAAAAGUUUUUAAUUUUGAUGGAGUCCAAUUUAUUGAUGUUUUUCUGUUAGGAAUCUCAUUCUAUGCACUAUCAUUGAUAUGUUUCCAUGGUUUCAAAAAUCAAAUAUAUUUAGAUGAUAACAAAAUCCCUGUAGCCCGGUCUGACAACUCCGUUGACUCCUCUUCCUCUCUCACACCCGACGUUCAAUCCAGCAUAAACUGUCAAAGACACAGCCACACACACAUAUGUACACGUACACAAAUAUAUACAAAACCAAACCAUCUUUCACGCCCACCACCCUUUCCAAGCCGCUGUGGACUCCCACCUGGACCUGCUGCCCUGCUCACUCUUGUGUUCUCUUCCCGUCCCGCAGCCAGGAUGGUCCUGUUAAAACCCAAGUCAGAUUAGGUCUCACUUUACUCUUUGCUCAGACUCCCCCAAUCCAUGUUUAGCUUACUCACAGCAAAAUUCGAAGCUCUUACCACGGCCUACGAGGCCUUCCACAACCUGUGCCCUCCUCUCCACUCUCUCCUCGUCUCCGGUGCUCCCCUUGCUGACUCCAUUCCAGGGGCAUUAGCUUAAGAGCUGUUCUCUGAAGACUCUGGACAUCCUGCAUCGCAUGUAGCCGUUCCUUCUGUCCAGAUGCUCUUCCCUCGGCUAUCUGCAUCGCUCUCUCCAUCACCUCUUUCAGGCUUUUGCUCAUACGCCACCUUCAGAUGAGGCCCACCCUUCCCACCCAGGUAAAUCGAACUCAUGCUGCUUUCAACCCCCAUAUCCUGCUUUUGUCUCCAUAGCAUUGUUACCUUCUAACAUACUAGAAAAUUUACUUAUUAUGUUUGUUGCUUAUUUUCUUCCCCCACAAAAGAACAUAGGUUCUGUAUGGGUUUGAAUUUUGCCUGAUGUUUUCUCUUGGUUCUGGCACAUAGAACAGUGCCUUAACAAGGCCUCAGUAAAUACGGUCAGUGAAUAACUGACUGAAUCAACUGCCUGUGACACAGGCAUCUCAUAGUAUUCGGAGUUGAACUUAAUGUUUUUCCAAGAUUUUUAAGAAUUCAUACAUCUAAGUCAGAAAGUUAGGAUGGGCCUCAUCGUGCUGCAGUUACGUCCUCGCCACCCCACGUUUAACUCUACUAGAGCAGAGCUCAAUGGGCAGUGUUUGCAUGAUCCUGCCAAGGCUCCUCUGUCUCUGGCUGGACCCCAUUCAAUUCUUUCUUUACACAACAGCCACAGAGAUUAGAAAUAUCUCUAUAGCUACAUAUCACUGUCACUUUUUUGCUUCGAAUCUUCUCAUGGCUCUCCGUUAUUUUCAAGCUAAUGUCUAAAUGCCGCGUGGUGUGUAGGUUGACAUUCCUUGUUUACACUCCAUCCACACCUUGGAUGUCACUGUUCCACUGACUCACACCCUCUCCCUUGCCUGCCUGUCACGUGCUAUUUCUUUGGCCUAAAAUAGUCCUUUGCCACCUGGUGCUUCUCCUCCUUCUUCAGGUCUCAGCUGCAGUCUCGUGUCCCCAGCUGUAGCUAGAUGCCCCUCUUACCUUCUCUGCAACCUUAACACUUACUCCUUAGGAUGUAAUUGUUCCGUCUUCAUCUGUCUUUCCUAGUGUAUUGUAAACUCCUCCAGAAAGAAUUGUCUUUCACCUCCACAUGCCCACGGCCUAGUGCGGGGUCUAGCGUGCAGUCAUCAUUCACUAAAUGUUUUAGUAAAAUAUUAUGUGAAGAGCAGAGGUCAGUGCCUACUGCCGGCCUCUUUCCUCCAUCUGUAAGAUGACUCUCCUGGCUGCUGAAAUGCUUUAAGAGGAUUACAUUUUCAGCGACUUGGAGGUGGCAGAGACACAGCAUGAACUCUGGGGUCAGCUCAGCUUGGGGAGAAUUGGAACUCUUGUGGUUUGGUAUUUGCAGUGGUUGAGACUAGAACCAGACUUACACAUAUCUAGGAUCUGGCAUUGGUCACUAAUUUGGUGACUUCAGGCAAAUUAGUUGAGAACGUUGUGCCUAUUCUUCAUCUGCCAAAGUGAGGAUAAUAAAUAUACAUACAUCAUUGGGCAGUUGUCAAAUUUUUUGUUUUCUUUAUUAUUUAUUUAUUUUGAGGAAGAUUAGCCCUGAGCUAACAUCUGCCAAUCUUCCUCUUUUUGCUGAGGAAGACUGGCCCUGAGCUAAAUCCGUGCCCGUCUUCCUCUGUGUUUUUAUAUGUGGGAUGCCUACCACAGCAUGGCUUGCCAAGCAAGUGCCCUGUCUGCACCCAGGAUCCAACCCGGCAAACCUCAGGCCGCCAAAGCGGAACGUGCGCAUUUAACCACUGUGCCACCAGGCCGGCCCAUCAAAUUUUUAGUUUUCUUUAUAGUUAACUAAUUUUAGCACUUUUUCCCCAAAUAGUAACUCUCCAUCCCUAUUCCUGUAAAAGGAAGACAUGUACUGAGGGGUCCUUGUGCUUUUUUAAAACAGAAUGACAAGAAUUGCUCAGUCAUAUGUCACAUCCUAGGUCUAUAAUUGUCAUUGGUAUAUGUGUAGAUGUGUGCCGUCUUCCCUCACUUGCCCCGGCUCAGGAACCUGGAUGCUGCUGACUCCAUACUCUCCAGUGAGUGAGUGUGAGUAAGUAAUUUGCCUAGGUCUAAAUUAAAAGAGAAAAGUCAAAAAAGAACUUGCCACAUUAAAAAAGACUCAUUGUGUAGAGUCUGGAUUCCUAGUGUGCACCAGGGAUGACCCAGCAACUCCGAGGUCAGAGAGGCGGGUGAGAAGCGGCAGCUCCACCAGGCAGGGCCGCGUCACCUGCCCUCCCUCCCCCCACUGGCCAACUGCAUCCUGGGCCACCGUUCCCUACACUCAGGACGCAGUUUGAAUGGUCACUUGUGGCCAUCAAGUUGAGCUACUUUCCAGACCCCAUUAGCUGACACACAGGACCUUUAAACGGUUAAAUCUCUCUUCGCAUGUUACCGUUCAUACAAGUCACUGUUUUUUCCACAUGUGAUUUACAGAACAAAGACACAUGAGACUUAUGUAAAGAAACAAUGACAAGGCUUUACUUAUGAGACACAUAGAAGACAGACAAGGGUUUCAGGAGGAAAAUGGGGAAGGGGAGGAGGCAAAUGUAGGCAGCAGUGGGCAUCGCAGCUGCUGUGACUGGUGGGAAAUGGGCCGAGGGCCUCCUCCUCCUGGGCUGAGGCCUCUCUGACUGCGAGUCUGCCGGGCUAACAGCCUCCAGCCACCCAAGCGUGGGGGCAGGUCUUCUGGGAAGGGGAUGGGAAUAGAAUGUUGUCCCUCUGGAGAGAGAGCUGACUGACUUGGUGGGGGGAGUGGGUCCCUGAGUGUAUCCUCCCUCAGGGGCAGUUCCCCAGGGAAGGCUGGUUGCGCGAUCUCCCACAGUCCUCCUCAAAGGUACCAGUGAGGAACACGCGCCAAAACCUGAGGGCCCCAGGAAUGCAACCUCCUCUUACAACCAGACUGGGCAAGACAAAGGAUUAGGGAGGCUGAUCCCCCAGCCCCUUGCAAAGAUGCCAGGAGGAGAAUGAUGUCUUACCUGCCCUCCAGCAGGUCACCUCCAGGGAAAGCCACGAGGCAAGCUCUACCUGGGCUUGCACUGGAAACAGAUCAGUGCAGGGUAGGCAGGUUGGUGGUGUGUGCACGCCUCUCUCCAGGCCCCACAGUGGAACUCUUUCACGGCCGCGAGCGGACUUUCAUCUGGUCUCAUUCUGCCUUUUUGCCCCAAUGCUUAGAGGUCUUGGAGCUCCAGCUUGCUAGGGGAAUGCAGAGAUCCGGGACAGAUUCGCAUGACCAAUCAGGUGGGCCUGGUGGACAAGUGGACGUGGCUGUUUCUAGAGGCAGCUGUUCUCUCAGACCAGCGUUCAUUUCCUAGAGCCUGGGAACUUGGAUCCUGAUCCAGAGGAGAGUGAACUGGUUGAUGGCCCAACAGUUCUGCCCCAACAAAGCCCUGAUGAGGUGAUGAGGGAACCCCAGAGGCAAGGCGGCUGCUUGCUUUGCCUGCGCCAGAGCCAGGGUUCUGGGCGUAAAGGCUGCCAUGGAUGCGCAUCUAAGCACAGCCUCGCUCUCCGUGGUGCAGGGCCUUCCACUGGCAGCAAGAACCUCCGCUGGAUGGGCCCUGGGCUCUGACUGAAGGUAGGGACGUUAGUGCUUUCAGACACAGGAUUAUCCUUAGGGGGGCUGGGCUUCCUGAUCAACAUAGAGGGACUCUGGCUUGGGCGCCCCAGGUGUUCAGGCCCAGACUUCCCCCUUGACUGUGGCACUGGAGGCCUCUAUCGUUUCUGCUCCAAAGCUGAGUGCUCCAGUGGUGGAGCUCAGACGUGGGGCAGCCUCUCUGCUCCCCAAGCCCAUCGGUGCUGCUGAAUCUCCCAGCCUGAGGGGUGGAGCUGUGCUGCCAGAUGAUGAGCAGUGCUGCCAAAUGUUGGGCCUAACAUUGCUCACACCACCAGGUGUGUAGGUGGCAGCUGUAAAGCCAGCGGCACUGUCCAUCAUGUCAGAGGGGAAAACAGUUUGGGGGCCACUAAAGGCUAGCUGUCUGCUGGCAUGGGUGCCCUAGGUGGAAGUUGCGGCUGAUGAACCCUCAAAAGCUGACUGUGUGGUGCUGGCCAAACUGGCUGGCCUGGAGUAGAGGUGGAGGCUGGGACUAGAGCUGGAGCUGUGAGGUCUCCAAACUGGGAGGAGCUGUCCAAGGUGGUAGAUUGGUGCUACUGCCCAUCAGGGGCUCCAACUGUGGGCUGAGUGGGGUGCGGCUCCAGAGCCCAGGGAAAGCUGAAAUGUUGGGAUGGGGCCUGAGACGCUCCAUGCAGGGUGGUGGUUUCUGUGGCUGAGGCAGCAUGGCCACUAGAGGGUGUCUGUCGGGCCUGGUCAGAUGGAAAGAAGCUCACACUGGAGCCAGCGGGAAGCCCCAAGAGGAGAGUGUGGGAAGGUGGAGGGAUGGCCCUAGGUGUGGCCUGAAGGUCACAAGCAGGCUGGGAGCCGAGCCUGCAGAUUUGCUAGCUGAGGGGCUGGAACUGACUUCAGAAACAGCAGCUAGCAGGCCACUGGGGAGAGGAGCACUAGGAUCAGUAGCUGGAGAGGGAGGGGUCUGUGAGAAGGAGACAGGAGAAUCCACACACGUGCUUAUAGAGGACUUUGCUCUGUGUAACAAGAUUCACAGGAGGAUUGAGGUGCCGGGGACAGGGGGAAGGUGGAACUGGAAUCUGCUGCAGCUGUGUCCGAGGUGUUGGGGUGCAAAAGAGGGGAAGCUGACGGAGGAGCGGUCCUCCAUCAGACAACGGACGGGGAAAGGGAAGGCUGCAAGGCACUGCAGUGCAGACGGCCUCAGUCUCCUCCCCAGGCCAUUGCUGAUGCGCUGGCAGGCUGCUUCCUUCUCCAAGUCCUGGUCCACCUAGCUGGGGCAAGUGGGGCGAGGGGGUGUCACCUAAGUGGCAGCAGAGGAAUUUUGCAUUUAUUGGAUAUAGAACUGUCUGGUCUACAGUUCCUGGUGUUCGUUUCUGCCCUGAGGUGGCAUCUGAAACCUUUACACUCUGGAUCUCCUCUGUGAUCCCACUGAAUCUGAGGACCUGGACCCAUGGCCCUCCUUCCUGUGUGGACCUCUCAGGCAGCAAGGGGUGCGAGGUGGCUGGACCCUUCUCCUCUGCAGUGGUGGGAAACCUCGAGUGGAGCUGUAUGAGUUCGUAGUAGCCUUUCAUUUGGUGCAUGAGGUCCUAAGAAAAAUAUGGGAUUUCUUAAUGGAAGUGUCUGCUGAGCUCCUAGAAUAGAGGUUUCUCUUCAAUGGCCUAGGCCUGGGCUCAAAGCCAGAGAGGCCUGCACUGACCAUGGGGGGCCUAAAUACAGACUGUAGACUCCCAGCGCUGUGGGGGGGCCCCUUCUCGGAUUGUCCCGCUUCUCCCUGUCUGCGGGGUAUUCCUCCUGUUUCACUAUUCCUUUCCCACUCUCUCUGAGGUCCCUCAAUAUCAUCUCCUCUGCGCAAGGGUCUAGGGCAUGACUGGAUGUUCCAGGGGGCAUCAGGGGACUACCUCCUCCUAUUCCAAACAGAGAGUCAGUUUGCCCCCAGGCAACUGAGCUGCAGGGCGUCGUGGAGUUUUGAGCAGACAGCACCCACUUCCUCUGAUUUCUGUGUCAGGACACUGAAGCAAAGACCCCAGAAAGGAACACGGGGUCUGCAGCAUCUAACGGGAUGUAGUUACUGGAUGCUGGCAGCACCGUCUGACAGUGUUCUGGGGCAGAGGCAGACAGAUGAACUCAGUGGACCAGGGCAGAGCUGAGGCCCCUGUGUGGGACCUGUGUGUCCCAGGGGGUGGAGCGGUGGCAAGGACAGAAGCUUGCCCAGGUAAGGUCUCAUGACUAGCAGUUCUGUAAUAUCACAGGGCAGGAGAGUUCUUCCUGAGCUUCCCACUGGGCCAGAGGCAAAGCUUGCUCUGCUUGGCGUGUUGCUGAAGGUGCAUAUUUGGAACGUGCGAGCAAAGACAAGAAGGGUGAUCGAAGUGCACGGGGGAAGGGUGCACAUGCGCAGAAUGCUCAGGGAAAUACCCCCCAAGGCGAGACUCAGCUUCCCUGUGCCCUCUGACUCUUCUGUGCCUCCUGCUGCUGAAGGGAGACGGGCUUAUUGGGAGGGGCAGGGGCUCCUCCUCCACUCGGUCCCAGUGCCCCAGGGGGAUUGUGCAGGACAGGGGUUCUUGAGGCUGCAGAGCGGGGACCACUGGGGAGUCGGGCUCAGGAUCUUUGGUGCUGGCCAGAGGUGGCAGCUUUGAGAUCAGCAAUUGUGUGUCCAUCUGUCCUUUCCCCUGGGGAUACUGGAGGAGGGAGCUGCUCAGAACAGGAGUAGAGGCGCCAUCCCGAUCCUGUUUGUGAGUGGGGUUCGUGGUGCUAGGCUGUAAGAGAUGUACUCACACUGUGACCCAGCAGUCCUACUGGGUAUUUACUCAGGAGAAAUGAAAAUUUGUGGUCAUUGCAGAAUCUCCAUGUGAAAGAUUUUAGCUGCUUUAUUCAUAUUUCUUAGAUAAAAGGCUAUGCAGGGUAUACGUAUUUUCUUGAGUGAGUAUAUGUGCGUGUGAGUGUGUUUAUUUGUGGUACUCCAAGGAUAACAAUUUGUAUAUCAAACUUUUCAAAGUCUAAUUAGAGUUAGUAUUUUACCAUUUCAGGUGAAAUGUAGAAUCUGUAAAACCAUAUAGAUUCUUUACCCUUCAUUUUUUAUAUGAUAGUUGUCUUAUGUAUUACAUCUAUAUGCAUUGAACCCUCCCCCACACACAGUGGUAUAAUUUUUGCUUUCAAAGUCAUAUUAACAUUUAAAGAAUUUAAGAGGAGAGAAGUAGGCUAUUGUAUUUAUGCAAAUAUUUACUGUUACUAUUACUCUUCCUUUAUUCCUGAAGUUUCAAGCUUUCCUUCUUGCAUCAUUUGCCUUCAGCCGGAAAAAGCUCCUUUCUCAUCUUUUUCGAGGAUGGCUGGUAGUGAAUUCUCUUAGUGUUCCUUUAUCUGCAUCUACCUUUAUUUUUCUUUCAUUCAUUAAGGAUAUUUUUGCUGAAUAUAGAACUCUAAGGUUGAUAAUUCUUUUGUUUCAGGAUUUUAAUGAUGUUGCUCCACUCCUGGCCUCUAUGGAUUCUGACGAGUAAUCCUAAAUUCUUCAAAUUGUUCUCUCUCUUUGGCUGUCUGUCUGUGUAUCUAUAUAUUUUUUUCUAAUUGCCUUCAAGAAUUUUUCUUCAUCUUUGUUUUUCAGCAAUUUGAAUAUGAUGUGUUAUGACAUUUUCUGAGCUUCCUGAAUCUUUCUUUCACCAAAUUGGGAAGUUUUCAGCCAUUUUUCCUCAAUUAUUUUUUUCUGCAUCAAAUUGUCUCCCCUCUUUCUGGAACUCCAAUGAAAUGAAUCUUAAAGCUUCUGAUAUUAUCCCACAGGUCUCGGACACUUUGUUAAGAGUAUGUGUGUUGUGUAUAAACAUUUUAUUUUGGAAAAGUUUUAGAUUUAAACAUCUAUCGUAAAGAUUGUACAGAGAGUUCCCAUAUACCCCACGCCUAGUUUCACAUGUUAUAAAUGUCUUACAUUGGUGUGGUACAUUUGUCACAAUUAAGGAAUCAAUAUUGACAUAUUGUUAUUAACUAAAGCCCAGACUUUAUUCAGAUUUCAUCAUUUUUCCCCUAAUAUCCUUUUUGUGCUCCAGACUUGCACCCAUGACACCACAUUAUGUUUAGGAAUCGUGUGUCCUUAGGCUCCUCUUGGUGUGACACUUGUCUUGUUUUUGGUGACCUAGAAACUUUGGAAUAUUACUGUCAGACAUUUUGUAGAGUGUCUCUAUUGGAAUUUAUCUGAGGUUUUUCGCAGAAGACUUAGAUAAUAUGCUUUUGGGAGGAAGACCGCAGAGGUAAAGUGCCAUUAUCAUCAUACUGUGUCAAGAGUAUGCUAUUAACAUGACAUCACUGUUGACAUUGACCUUGAUCAUUUGGCUUGAGGUAGUGUUUAUAAAUUUUCUCCAGUGGAAAGUUACACCUUUUUUCACUAUUUCCAUACUGUACUCUUUGGAAGAAUGUCAUUAUGCACAGCUCGCACUUAAAGAGUGGGGAAUUAUGUUCCACUCUCUAAGGGCAUAGUAUUUAUAUAAAUUAUUUGGAAUCCAUCUGCAUGGUAGAUUUCUUUUUUCCUGUUUAUUUAUUUAUUUAUUCAGUCAUUUAUGUCAGUAUGGACUCAUGAAUAUUUAUUUUAUACUAUGGGUUAUAAUCCAAUGAUACUUUAUUUUGUUACUAAAGUUGUUGCACCUUUGGCAACUAGGAGCCCUUCUAAGUUUGCUCUGUAUCUCUUUGACAUAUCCCCAUCCUCUCAAGUUUGGGGGCGGGGGUGGUUUUGAGCCCUUUUUGGCCUUAGAAGUGGCUCCAGCCUCAUCUUGUGUAUGCCCUGCCCCAUUCCUAGAAUCAGUCAUUUAUCUAAGGAGCUUUCCUUGAAAAACACUCUUAGGAACCAAGGUCUGGUUGCUGGGGUGCUCACUGUUACUGGGGGAAUGUUGCUUCUAGGUUCUCUCAGUGGACAGAGCAAGGAGAUAUAUGUGUGUAUAUUAACACAUGUGUAUACACAUAUCUAUAAAUUUUUUUUUUGAGGAAGAUUAGCCCUGAGCUAACAUCUGCUGCCAAUCCUUGUCUUUUUGCUGAGGAAGACUGACCCUGAGCUAACAUCCAUGCCCCUCUUCCUGUACUUUCUAUGUGGGACACCUGCCACAGCAUGGCUUGCCAAGCGGUGCCAUGCCUGCACCGAUGAUCCAAACCAGCAAAUCCCGGGCUGCCGGAGCAGAAAGUGAGAACUUAACCGCUGCACCACCGGACCGGCCCCCACAUAUCUAUAAAUAUUUUUCUAUCUAACAAUCUGUAUCUACAUUAAGAUAAAUGGGAGUUCAUACUUAUGUGGCUGUUAAUUUUUGUUGAAUAUAUUUUUCUAUCUGUUCUUCAACUUGUAUUAUUUCUAUUGAUCUGUCUUCAAGUUCACUGACUCUUCUCCCUUCUCCAUUCAGUCAUUGAGCUCAUCAGUGAAGAUUUCACUUUUAAUAUUUUAUUUUUUAUAGUCUCCAUUUGCUUCUUUUUCAUAAUUUCUAUUUCUCUGCUGAGAACCUCUAUCUUUUCAUUCAUUUCAAGAAUAUUUACCUUUACCUCAUUGAGCAUGGUUAUAAUAGCUGCUUUGCUUGAUAAUUUCAUAUCUGGGUGAUUUUGAAGUUGGAUCUAUUGAUUGUCUUGUCCUUUGAGAAUUGAUUAGACUUCCCUAGUUCCUGGUAUGUUAUUUUGAGUAGUUUGGGGUGGUAUCCUAGACAUUUUGCAUGUAAUGUUGUAAAACUGUGCAGAAUGAUAUUUUAUUUGAUUGUUUUUGGAAGCAGUCGACGCCGUUAUGCUUAGUCUGUGUGUUUUGCUUGCCUUCUGUUGGCGGUUGUUCCAGUCUCGGUGCAGUUUUCAAGACUUGGCUCUGCUGUUUGUGUCCACAUCUCACACACAUCACUCAGGGGUUAAUCUGGGGCUCGAGUGGAGGUUUAUGUUGUGGUUCACUUCUCAGAGACUUGGCUCUGCUUGUGUGGACCUCUUCUGUGCAUGUGCUGCUCCCCGUGAGCCUGGGACUCCGGUUAGUUUAUACACAGGUAUAAGUGAUGCCAUUUUCCAGUUCUCGCCUCUUCAGGAUUUAUCUCCAUUCUCAAACUUGCAAGGGCCUCUUUUACAUGUUUCUCUAAGGGUUUAACCCUUUGUGCUGUCAUGCGGUUGUGACCAGGUCGGCCUUUGAGGUGACAGAGUUAGCCAGAGAAAAGAGGCAAAAUCACUGGGGAUUUCCCCCACACUCUUCAGACAAUGGGAGGCCCUUCACCUCUUCCUUGGCCAGAGAGCCACGUAAUCGCUCAGGUGCCUGUGCCCCUGCUGAAACUGCAGUACCCAUCAUAACCGGUAUGGUCUUUGGGGUGGGCCAAGAGAGUAAAACAAAAUGAAAUGAAACAGGGGUAGGCCCCACUCCCUGACACACAGAGGCAUCCCCUCCCUGCCGUCUGGCUAGAAAUGGGGGGCUUCUCCCAGUGGUUUGCUUCCAGAGCCUGCUGUGCAGUCGCAGGAUUCCACUCACCCUCGGGUGACAGCAAGGAGAUGAAGGCAGAAAAGCAGCCACUGUAAUCGCCCCUUACAGGUGGUUAUUCACAUUUUUACUUCUGUCCCCAUUUGUAUGGCAUUGUUUGCUUUUUCACUUCUCUAGAGUGUUUUAUUUGUAAUCUGCCUGCAAGAGAGAUCAUUUGUAAGGAUCUUGCUCUAUUUUGGCUGGAAACAGAAGUUUAUAAUCACUUCAGAAAUAAAUUUUUUAUGGAUACAUAUGUAAGAAAUGUUUUACAGUUAUUUAUAAAUAUUUUAAAUGCUACCAUUAUAGACCAAAAUGUUAAUAGUGCUUACCUAUAAGUAAUGCCAUUCAUUUUGUAAUUUUCUGUAUUUUCCCAUAUUUCUGUGACUAUAAUUGUUUUACUUGUCUCAUUAAAAAAAACUUAAAGCAAUUUUGACUUCAGAUCUCCUACUAAUUCCUAAUGUGGGGGACUGGAAUUGGCCACCCCAAGAUAUGCCUCUUUGGCAUAAGGAUUAUUUUGGGCUGGUUACUUUUAAAAACUGCAGACAAGAAAGAAACUCUAAAAAGUAGAAUUUACUUACCCUUUGUUAAGAGACAUUUACAUUUGUAAAGGAAAUCUCCAUCUGUAAAAGUGUCUCCCUCUCUGUACCAGGAAGAAGGGGAGAUGACCUUAUCUCUAGAAACUCAUAAUCAAUGGGGUUUAUCUCUAGAAACUCUUAAUCAAUGUGGAAGGCAAGGACUUAAAUCUGCAUAAUAAUCUUACUCUUGUUUACUGUAUUUGUCUGGUAACCUCCCCCAACAUCCUCCUUUGUCUUUAGCUGAAGAUGAUAUUUAAGGUGGGGGCUUCAGCCAUUUUGGUGAGUUGCUCAGUUUGCCUUAGCCUCUCCCAUGUAUACGUGUUAUAAAGCUUUGUUUAAUUUUCUCCUGCUAUUCUGUCUUGUGUGAAUUUAAUUCGUUCUCCGGCCAGAAGGACCCAGAGCGAGUAGAGAAAAUGUCUUCCUCCCCUAUACUAAGUAACCUUAAUUUAGGUGCUAGGUUUUUUGACUUGAGCAGACAGAAUAGUAGAAAAAGGGAGAAUGUGGAUGUCAGAUGGUGGCAGGGAUUAAGUACAGCAAGAGAUGUCCUUGCAAAAGUUAUCAGUCCUAGAAGACUCUCCAGGGCACUCAUGGCAGGAAAUCAAAGGGAAUCAGCACAUUCAACUCUAGAAAAAUACAGCAAUCUCACCCCAGUAUGGAUAGAUGAAACCAGGAUAACUAGAUAUACUUCAGAAAAAAUAGAGGCUGGCCCAGUGGCACAGCAGUUAAGUUUGCACAUUCUGCUUCUCGGCGGCCCAGGG